rnacentral:rRNA from 1 species
UCGCCCGGGGCGCGCCCCGGGCGGGGCGGGGGCACGGGGGAACGCGAAGAACCUUACCAGGCCUUGACAUGCAGAGAACUUUCCAGAGAUGGAUUGGUGCCUUCGGGAACUCUGACACAGGUGCUGCGUGGCUGUCGUCAGCUCGUGUCGUGAGAUGUUGGGUUAAGUCCCGUAACGAGCGCAACCCUUGUCCUUAGUUACCAGCACGUUAUGGUGGGCACUCUAAGGAGACUGCCGGUGACAGACCGGAGGAAGGUGGGGAUGACGUCAAGUCAUCAUGGCCCUUACGGCCUGGGCUACACACGUGCUACAAUGGUCGGUACAGAGGGUUGCCAAGCCGCGAGGUGGAGCUAAUCUCACAAAACCGAUCGUAGUCCGGAUCGCAGUCUGCAACUCGACUGCGUGAAGUCGGAAUCGCUAGUAAUCGCGAAUCAGAAUGUCGCGGUGAAUACGUUCCCGGGCCUUGUACACACCG